rnacentral:rRNA from 1 species
CCACAGGGAUUGCCCCAGUAACGGCGAGUGAAGCGGCAACAGCUCAAAUUUGAAAUCUGGCCCCCCGGGUCCGAGUUGUAAUUUGCAGAGGAUGCUUCGGGCGCGGCGCCUUCCAAGUCCCCUGGAACGGGGCGCCACAGAGGGUGAGAGCCCCGUCGGGUCGGCCGCCAAGCCUGUGUGAAGCUCCUUCGACGAGUCGAGUAGUUUGGGAAUGCUGCUCUAAAUGGGAGGUAGACCCCUUCUAAAGCUAAAUACCGGCCAGAGACCGAUAGCGCACAAGUAGAGUGAUCGAAAGAUGAAAAGCACUUUGAAAAGAGGGUUAAACAGUACGUGAAAUUGUUGAAAGGGAAGCGCUUGCGACCAGACGUGCGCCGGGCGCUCAGCGGGCGUUCUCGCCCGUGCAUUCGCCCCGGCGCAGGCCAGCGUCGGUUCGGGAGGGGGGACAAAGGCGCCGGGAACGUGGCUCCCGCGGGAGUGUUACAGCCCGGCGCGCCAUGCCCCCGCCCGGACCGAGGUUCGCGCUCCGCAAGGACGCUGGCGUAAUGGUCCCCAGCGGCCCGUCUUGAAACACGGACCAAGGAGUCGAGGUUUUGCGCGAGUGUUUGGGUGCCAAACCCGCACGCGCAAUGAAAGUGAACGCAGGUGGGAGCUUCGGCGCACCACCGACCGAUCCUGAUGUUCUCGGAUGGAUUUGAGUAGGAGCGCAGGGCCUCGGACCCGAAAGAUGGUGAACUAUACUUGGAUAGGGUGAAGCCAGAGGAAACUCUGGUGGAGGCUCGCAGCGGUUCUGACGUGCAAAUCGAUCGUCAAAUCUGAGUAUGGGGGCGAAAGACUAAUCGA